rnacentral:lncRNA from 1 species
CAUGUUCACGAGCUGGCUCGUUAAAGUAUCGAGCCGAAAAAUUCAGCUCGUGUUAACGAGCCGAACACGAGCUGGCUCACGAGCUGGCCAACGAAUAAUAAAUUAAAAAAGAUUAGAUUAAAUAUAUAUAUAAAAUAAAUUUAUAAAAUCUUAUCCACUAGAUUUUGAUCUAAUAGUUGAAACUUUACAUAUAAAUGAGUCUUUUUAUAAUUAAACUCGCUUUUAUAUUUUUAUUUUGCUAAAAUUUAAAUAAUAAAAAUAUAUAUUAUAUAUAAUUAUUUAUUUAUAUAUAAAAU